rnacentral:tRNA from 1 species
GGGCGGAUGUACCCAAG